rnacentral:rRNA from 1 species
GAUGAACGCUGACAGAAUGCUUAACACAUGCAAGUCAACUUGAACUUCGGUUUGGGUGGCGGACGGGUGAGUAACGCGUAAAGAACUUGCCUCACAGAUAGGGACAACAUUUGGAAACGAAUGCUAAUACCUGAUAUUAUGAUUAUAUGGCAUCGUAUAAUUAUGAAAGCUAUAUGCGCUGUGAGAGAGCUUUGCGUCCCAUUAGCUAGUUGGAGAGGUGACGGCUCACCAAGGCGAUGAUGGGUAGCCGGCCUGAGAGGGUGAUCGGCCACAGGGGGACUGAGACACGGCCCUUACUCCUACGGGAGGCAGCAGUGGGGAAUAUUGGACAAUGGACCAAGGGUCUGAUCCAGCAAUUCUGUGUGCACGAUGAAGUUUUUCGGAAUGUAAAGUGCUUUCAGUUGGGAAGAAAAAAAUGACGGUACCAACAGAAGAAGUGACGGCUAAAUACGUG